rnacentral:lncRNA from 1 species
GUAAAGAAGAGAGGAGUCUCUCUCUUCUGGAAAUUUGGACUAUGUAUAGUAUAUCCAGAGAACUAAAUAUACCCGGAGACCAAAAUAGUCAUACUUUGGCACUGAAGUAGCAAAGUCAUGAGGUUGACUUCUGGCUGGAGAGGCUCUGAUAGACCAGAAGCAGGCAGAGGUUUAGAGGCAGCAGAACCAUGGCUCCCCCUUCACCUUCUGCCAUGAUUGUAAGCUUCCUGAGGUCAUCCAAAAGCUGAGCAGAUGCCAACCAUGCUUCCUGUAUGUACAGCCUGCAGAACUGAGGCCAAGGUGGUAGGAUCACUUGAAGUUGGGAGUUCAAGACCAGCCUGACCAACAUGGUGAAACCUCGCCUCCACUGAAAAUACAAAAAUUAGCUGGGCAUGGUGGCAGGCACCUGUAAUCCUAGCUACUCGCUAAGACUGAGGCAGGAGAAUCGCUUGAACCCAGGAGACGGAAGUUGCAGUGAGCCGAGAUCAUGCCACUGCACUCCAGCCUGGGCAACAGGGCGAGACUCCACCUCAAAAAAAAAAAAAAUGUGUAAUUAACUGUUCCCCAUGUCAAUAAAUAUUCUCUUCUAAUAUUCUUUUA